AUGGGGGACAAUUUCGAACACACAAGCGCGACGACAAAGGUGUUUACGCUGGAGUUCUUGGGACAAAUUACAGACAAUUUUUCUGAAGAACGCGUCAUUGGUCGUGGUGGAUAUGGAGUGGUUUACAAGGGAGUAUUGGAAAAUGGGGAAGAGAUUGCUCUCAAAAAGCUUCAUCACAUGCCCGGGCUUGAUGACACGCAAUUUAGGAAUGAGUUUAAUCAUCUUAUGAGGGCCCAACAUCCAAAUAUUACCCAGUUGGUUGGCUACUGCUAUGAUAUAGGACAUCAACGCAUUAAGCAUGGCGGUGAAUAUAUUUUUGCCCUUGUGGAAGAAAGAGUUCUCUGCUUUGAAUACUUGCAGGGUGGAAGCCUUGACAAGUAUAUUACCGAUGAAUCCUGCGGACUCAAUUGGCACACACGUUUCAAAAUUAUUAAGGGAGUCUGUGAUGGAUUAGAUUACCUUCAUAAUGGAUGCAAAGAUCCUAUUUACCACCUUGACUUGAAACCUGCGAACAUAUUGCUGGACAAGGACAUGGUCCCAAAAAUUGGAGAUUUUGGUCUGUCAAGACUCUUUCCUUCAACAAAAACUUAUGUCACAAUCAAAAUUAUAGGAACACCUGGAUACAUGCCACCAGAAUACAUAGAGAGAUAUGAAAUCACAUCGAAGCAUGAUGUAUUUAGUUUGGGUGUUAUAAUUAUACGGAUAAUGGCAGGAGAUGAGGGUUACUCCAAAUGUGCACAUAUGUCUUCACAGGAAUUUCUUGAGCAUGUACGUGAAAAUUGGGGAAAACGAAUGCAGGCAACAAUGUCUUCGCAUAUAUCACAGCAAGUUGAGACAUGCAUUGAGAUAGCGUUAAGGUGUGUGGAGGUCGAUCGUGAGAAAAGACCUACUAUAGCUGAGAUUGUUGAUGAACUGAACCAGGUUGAUACUGCAGAAGGUUCACUUACAGGCCAGGUCACCAAGAACCAAAACUCAAACUCAGAGCACCGAGGCCGAAUCGUUUUCUCUACCACCUGCAGGCACCCAGAGCAAUUCGACAUCUUCUCCUGCUCCUUCUCACCUUCCUCCAGUGAUGAAGAGCUCCACCUCACGGAUGGUGUGUCCUAUAACUACAACGGCCGUUCCAUCCCUCCUGCCGCAUUGAAGACCCUCCUCAAGAGCCCCAAGUUGGCAGAAGAGGACGGCACUAGCGAUGCGGAUGUUGAUGCAGGCCAUGUCUCUGGUCUGAUCUUCAUGUCUGAGAGGGAUGACGGCCAUGAGACACUAUACAUUGCCCUGCGCUUCAGUAUCAGCAGCAGGGUCAAGGUCUUCUCGCUCGCUGACAUCUUUGGCACUGCAGGCUUCAGUGGCACACGCCUGGAGGAUAGUGGUUGCAUCGUCGAUGGAUACAAUGUGGAGUCUCGCACCGUUAACCCCUCUCUCAUCUACGUCUCCACCAAAGAGGCGGUGCAAGAAUAUCGCAGCCCCUGGACUGUCGUGUACAAGACCAACCUUUUAACAGGCAAGACGCGGCGGCUGACUCCUGAAGGUGUGUCUGAUUUGAGUCCAGCUUUGUCGCCAUCGGGCAAGCUGCUAGCAGUGGCAUCAUUUGAAAGCAAGAGUUGGAACAGCGAGAACCUCAAGACUGACAUCUAUGUGAUGAACAUGGAUAGUGAGGAGGGCCUGGGACGCAAGCUACUCAUCGAGAAUGGUGGGUGGCCAUCCUGGGGCAGUGACAACAUCCUCUUCUUCCAUAGAGGCACCAGCAGUUUCAUUCAAUGGCGCAACAUGGUUCAAACAACUUGGGGCGUGUUCCGGUACAACAUCAGCACCAAAGAGACUCUCCGAGUGACUUCAGAGAUGUCGAAUGCGGUGACUCCAGCAGCCAUCAGUGAGACCAAGGUAGCUGUGGCGACCAUCCGCCGGCCCCUAGUCGGCAGUGCUCCCAUGAUGGCACAGUACCGGCACAUUGAGAUCUUCGAUAUGAAUGGGCUGCCACCGGUGCAGAUCACCCAGACGAUGAGGCCGGAAAGCGACCAUUACAACCCCUUCGUGCUGGACGGUGGUGGCCGCAUUGGAUACCACCGCUGCAGGAGUGGGAGUGACCUUGUACAGCGCGUAGACCAUGUCCCCAGGAAUUUGCACAGGCUGGAGUCCCCGGUGAAGGAUGUUGGUUUGUUUCGGGUGUCCGGUGCGUUCCCGGCCAUCUCCAAGGACGGCUCCAAGCUCGCCUUCAUCGAUAAAGAGUUCAAAGCUGUGUGGAUCGCUGACAGCCAAGGGUUGCGCAUGGUGUACGAGACAAGAGAGCCGGACAGCAUCUUUUCCCCUGUGUGGAACCAGAACCCUGACAAGGACAUCCUCUACGUUUGCAUUAGCACUAGCACUAGCACCUACUUGAAUGCUCGAAAGUCGCUGGAGAUCUACGCCAUCAGUAACGCCUCUGGUGUCGCGGUGCAGCGACAGGUCCAGAGACUCACCUAUGGCGGGUUCAACAAUGUGUUCCCAUCGAGCAGCCCGGAUGGGAACAAAUUCGUCUUCCAGUCCACGAGGGAUUUUGUUGCAGAAAAGGACAACUCACUGCAGCAGCAGCAGCAGCAGCAGCGGCGGCGGCGGCCUUUUGGGGGGGAAAGUGCAUCUCGGCCGAUGAGGAAUAUAAGGGAGGAGCAGGAGCACAAGAAUCUGUUCGUCGAUAAAGAGCACAAGAACCUAUACAUAAUGCUGAAGACAGACGACAAGGGAUCCGAGGAAGGUUGGGUGACGCGGCUGACAAAAGGGUCGUGGACAGACACCCACUGCCAGUGGUCUCCUAGAGGGGACUGGGUCGCCUUCUCGUCGACGCGUGACAAACCAGGGGAGAACAGCAUGGCCCCGGGGUCUUUCUCCGUGUACCUGGUGAAGGCGUACGACCCGACGGUGGUGAUCAAACUGAUAAACGAAUUAGAUGGCUACUGCGGUCACGUGGACUACCCGGUGUUCAGCCCGGAUGGGAGGAGCAUUGCUGUGACAAUGGACCUGGCGGCAGUGCCGGUGGACCGGAACUCGUUGCCGAUGUCCAUGCACGGGGCGCGGCCCUACGGCGUCAUCUUCGUGGUGAACAUCAACCCAGAUGACAAUAAGAUGAGAAGCAAGGAUGUCAAGUGCUUCCGCCGCAUCACACACAGCCGGUAUGAGUGCUCUGCACUGGCGUGGACGUCAGUGCCGGCAGACCCUGAAGCGUGGUGUAGCAUCAUGCUAUUGCUGGCGGAAAUGGAAGGGCACCACGAUGGGCGGGACGGGCGCCAGAAGGCCACCUCUUCAUCCCUGGGAGGGCUUUCUGAUUUAUCUUUGCGUCACAACCUGCAGCUUUAA
rnacentral:rRNA from 1 species